ensembl:lncRNA
AAUGUUGGCAUUUGACGGUGAAUGCUGUUGAAUGUUGUUGAAUGUUGGUAUUUGAUGGUGUAUGUUGUUAUAUGAUGGUGAAUGUUUUUGAAUGUUGGUAUUUGUUGGUGAACGUUGUUGAAUGUUGGUGUAUGUUGGUAUUUGAUGGUGAAUGUUGGUAUUUGAUGGUAAAUGUUGGUAUUUGAUGGUAAAUGUUGAAUGUUGGUGUAUGUUGUUGAAUGUUGGUAUUUAAUAAUGAAUGUUGUUGAAUGUUGAUAUUUGAUGGUGUAUGUUGUUGAAUGUUGGUAUUUGAUAGUGAAUGUUGAAGGUUGGUAUUUGAUGGUGUAUGUUGUUGAAUGUUGGUAUUUGAUAGUGAAUGUUUUUGAAGGUUGGUAUUUGAUGGUGUAUGUUGUUAUAUGAUGGUGAAUGUUUUUGAAUGUUGGUAUUUGUUGGUGAACGUUGUUGAAUGUCGGUGUAUGUUGGUGAAUGUUGGUAUUUGAUGGUGAAUGUUGGUAUUUGAUGGUAAAUGUUGAAUGUUGGUGUAUGUUGAAUGUUGGUAUUUGUUGGUGAACGUUGUUGAAUGUCGGUGUAUGUUGGUGAAUGUUGGUAUUUGAUGGUGAAUGUUGGUAUUUGAUGGUAAAUGUUGAAUGUUGGUGUAUGUUGAAUGUUGGUAUUUAAUAAUGAAUGUUGUUGAAUGUUGGUAUUUGAUGUUGAAUGUUGAUAUUUGAUGGUGUAUGUUGUUGAAUGUUGGUAUUUGAUAGUGAAUGUUGUUGAAGGUUGGUAUUUGAUGGUGUAUGUUGUUGAAUGUUGGUAUUUGAUAGUGAAUGUUGUUGAAGGUUGGUAUUUGAUGGUGUAUGUUGUUGAAGGUUGGUAUUUGAUGGUGUAUGUUGUUGAAUGUUGUUAUAUGAUGGUGUAUGUUGUUGAAGUUUGGUAUUUGAUGGUGUAUGUUGAAUGUUGGUAUUUGAUAGUGAAUGUUGAAGGUUGGUAUUUGAUGUUGUUGAAUGUUGGUAUUUGAUGGUGUAUGUUGUUGAAUGUUUGUGUUUGAUGGAGAAUGUUGGUGUUGAUGGUGAAUGUUGUUGAAUGUUGGUAUUUGAUGGUAUAUGUUGUUGAAUGUUGGUAUUUGAUGGUAUAUGUUGUUGAAUGUCGGUGUAUGUUGAAUAUUGGUAUUUGAUGGUGAAUGCUGUUGAAUGUUUGUGUUUGAUGGAGAAUGUUGAAUGUGUGUGUUUGUUGAAUGUUGGUGUAUGUUGUUGAAUGUUGGUGAGUGUUGGUGAAUGUCGGUGUUGGUGAAUGUUGGUGUUUGUUGGAGAAUGUUGGUGUUUGAUGGAGAAUGUUGUGGGUGGUGUUGCUGACUAGCUGCAUUUCUAUUCUGACUGUGUUCAGGUGGAAUAGAGAGAAAAAUGGAGAAGUGCUUUGCUUUUAUAGAAAAGCCUGCAGGUGAGGCUUUUUGGUCGUCAUUGAUUUAUUCAAAGUUGAGCUAUGAUCCCUGAAGCAUUUUGGCUGUAGACUUACUCACUUGACAUUGAUCCUACAGUAAACACAUCCUACUGUACACUUCGUUAUUUUAUGUACUACAUGGAACAUUCGCUGGCACAGGCUGGGCAAUUUUUCUGCACUAGUGUAUGCUAUGAUCUUCAUAGGGAUAGGGGGAUGAUACAUAUAUAGAUCUGAAGAGACUGAGGAGGAUAUGUACAUGUUUUUUUUUGUUGUUGUUUUUUUUUUUACCCGACUUUACACCAUAUAACCCUGUAGACUCAGUUACUUCACUCUAGAAACUGUUACACGCAUGGUAGAGCUGUAUAUUAUAUUAUUAUUAGAAAAUUAUAUUACCCUCUUGUAGACCCAAAUGACCCAACGUUCACCCUAAUACCAACUGUAGAACCUAUUAUCCCCCCUGUAGAACAUAUGGCCUUCACUGUGCACCCGAUUAACCCACUGUACACCCUAAUACCCCCAACUGUACACCGUACUACUCCGACUGUACACCCUAUUAUCCUCACUGUACACCUCACUACUCCCCCUGUACACUCUAAACUCCCACUGUACACCCUAUUAUGCUCACUAUGGAGCCCAUCACUCACACUGUAGACCCUAUUACCCUCACUGUACACCACGUUACCCACCAUAUUGACCCUUUGUCCCAAUUAUAGAUCCAUUUACUCCCACCGUAUACCCAAUUAUCACCCAACCCUGUUACUCCCUGUAGACCCUAUUACUCCCCAUCCC